AUUGAACGCUGGCGGCAGGCUUAACACAUGCAAGUCGAACGAAGCCUUCGGGCUUAGUGGCGCACGGGUGCGUAACGCGUGGGAAUCUGCCCUUUGGUUCGGAAUAACAGUUGGAAACGACUGCUAAUACCGGAUGAUGACGAAAGUCCAAAGAUUUAUCGCCAGAGGAUGAGCCCGCGUAGGAUUAGCUAGUUGGUGUGGUAAAGGCGCACCAAGGCGACGAUCCUUAGCUGGUCUGAGAGGAUGAUCAGCCACACUGGGACUGAGACACGGCCCAGACGCCUACGGGAGGCAGCAGUGGGGAAUAUUGGACAAUGGGCGAAAGCCUGAUCCAGCAAUGCCGCGUGAGUGAUGAAGGCCCUAGGGUUGUAAAGCUCUUUUACCCGGGAUGAUAAUGACAGUACCGGGAGAAUAAGCCCCGGCUAACUCCGUGCCAGCCGCCGCAGUAA
rnacentral:rRNA from 1 species